UAUGUACAUUGAAAGAGACAGAGGCUGGAUCAAAGUGAGAGGAAGACUGAACUUGUCUUUGCUUCUCAUCAUUGAGGACCAUAUUAUAAACAUUGCCAAGAAAGGAGGAGGCUGCAUCAUCAAAAGAUUUCUCCUGACCCCCAUAUAAGCUUCAUUUAGACCCAUUAAAAACUGAAAGACCUUAUUAUCAUCACAAUCCUGAACUAUACCAUCUUUUGCAGCACAUACACACCUUAGACCAUGAUUAACACACAUAGAAUCAAGUUCAUCCCACAGACCUUUUAGCUUGUUGAAAUAAGAAGCUAUAUCUAAGGAUCCUUGAGAGGUGUGAGACAACUUUCUUUUCAGUUCAAAGAUUUUGGUCCUGUUUGCAGUGCCAUAUCUGGCAUGGAGUUGGGACCAUAUGCUCUAUGCAGUGUCAGAAUACUGCACAGAUUCAGCAAUUGCAGGGGAAAGGGAUGCAGUCAACCAAGAAAUCACCAUGUUGUU
rnacentral:lncRNA from 1 species